rnacentral:lncRNA from 1 species
AAAAAAAAAGAAAAAGAAAAGAAAAGUUUGUUUAUCUAACGUUUCGGUUUAACUGGGUAUCUGUACUUUGCUCAAUCCAGCGACUGUACUCAGGAAUAAUCCCCUGAACUUGGCCCUAUUAUUCCUAUUUCAAAAGCAGGGAAGAUGAGACUUAGGGAGACCACGCAACUUGCUUCUGAGUGGUAGAGCGGAGAUAAGAUUUUCAACCAGACCCACUGAGUUUAAAACCAGUGCUGGUUUCACAACACCACACAAGAAUCCAAGCCUUAAAGUAAGGAAGCUGAUGGGAUGCUAAUGGGGGAAACUGAAGCAUGCUCCAAGGAAUUUGGGGGAAUUCCUGAAUGCCUUGCUCAGAAUGUAGCUAAUCACUCAGUAAACAGUUGCUGGAUGUAAUUGAAUAGAAUUAUCACCGUUCUUGCUAACUAAGACUGCUCCCCUCCUAUAAACACUCUUAAGAAAAGCCUUGUUUCUCAUGCCCAGCUAACAUCCCCGUUCAACACUAUGUUUCAGUGCUUGGAGGCAGGCACUUCCUCACGUGUAUAGGCAGUGGUAGAUGAGGUCAUGGGACAUAGCUCCAAGAGAAGCUUCGAGUCACAUUACAUUCAUUUAACACAUGGAGGAAACCCACAAGGACUGAAGGAAUGGGCUGGCCCAAGGCGUAAGCCAGGCCUGUCUUGGCUGGACCACCUUCAGAGCUCAGCGUGUGCAGUCCAGUUGCCUUGCUUGAACCAGGCUGCUUUGCCAGACCUUGAAGAGAUGUCUAUUUGCACUUCAGUCAACAUUAUUGUAGGAGUGCAGAAGCUGCGGUCAUAGGGUGAGGGAAGGGGUGUCCUGCUAGAACCCUUUCUUGUCUGAAGAUGGGAUGAUUCCGUAAAUGUAAAGUUGCCAUGAGCCUGGUUUCUUUCCUUCUUAGAUGUGUGACUCUGAGUUUACACACAGGAAUCUGGAUCCAGUGUGUGCCGCUCCUAGAUACUCAUAAGCCUCCAGGUCCCAGGGAGAAUCACCGUGACUCUGUGCAUGGGAAAGCAUUCUCCUUAUCUUAAAUUCAAGCCUUUCCCUCCAGCUCCUCACUGGAGGAGCCAUGAAAGGGUGAAGAGCAGUGAGGACCAAGGAAAAUGGCAUCUAAAGAAAAUGUGGGCUGGGUGCAGUGGCUCAUGCCUGUAAUCCCAGCACACUGGGAGGCCAAGGAGGGCAGAUCACUUGAGGUCAGGAGUUCAAGACAAGUCUGAGCAACAUGGUGAAACC